rnacentral:rRNA from 1 species
UACGGAGGAUCCAAGCGUUAUCCGGAAUCAUUGGGUUUAAAGGGUCCGUAGGCGGUUUUGUAAGUCAGUGGUGAAAGCCCAUCGCUCAACGGUGGAACGGCCAUUGAUACUGCAAGACUUGAAUUAUUGGGAAGUAACUAGAAUAUGUAGUGUAGCGGUGAAAUGCUUAGAGAUUACAUGGAAUACCAAUUGCGAAGGCAGGUUACUACCAAUAUA